rnacentral:rRNA from 1 species
UGGGGAAUAUUGGACAAUGGGGGGAACCCUGAUCCAGCCAUGCCGCGUGUGUGAAGAAGUCCUUAUGGUUGUAACGCACUUUAAGCGAGGAGGAGGGUACUGGUAUUAAUACUACCAGCUACUGGACGUUACUCGCAGAAUAAGCACCGGCUAACUCUGUGCCAGCAGCCGCGGUAAUACAGAGGGUGCGAGCGUUAAUCGGAUUUACUGGGCGUAAAGCGUGCGUAGGCGGCUAAUUGAGUCGGAUGUGAAAUCCCCGAGCUUAACUUGGGAAUUGCAUUCGAUACUGGUUAGCUAGAGUGUGGGAGAGGAUGGUAGAAUUCCAGGUGUAGCGGUGAAAUGCGUAGGGAUCUGGAGGAAUACCGAUGGCGAAAGCAGCCAUCUGGCCUAACACUGACGCUGAGGUACGAAAGAAUGGGGAGCAAACAGG